rnacentral:lncRNA from 1 species
GUCGUUGUAUAACCAUUCAUCAACGGAUGCAGCUUCCCAUAUUGGGUAAAAGUGCAAACCGAUAGCCGCAGAAGUAGGAAUAAUGGCACCAGAAAUAAUAUUGUUUCCGUAAAGUAGAGAUCCAGAAACAGGCUCACGAAUACCAUCAAUAUCUACUGGAGGAGCUGCGAUGAAAGCGAUAAUAAAUACAGAAGUUGCGGUCAAUAAGGUAGGGAUCAUCAAAACACAAAACCAUCCAAUGUAAAGACGGUUUUCAGUGCUGGUUAUCCAGUUACAGAAGCGACCCCAUAGGUUUUCGCUAUCGCCUCUCUCUAAAAUUGCAGUCAUGGUAAAAUCUUGGGUUUAUUUAAAUUUAAUUAUCAGGGACUCCCAAGCACACGAAUUCUCUAUAAGUAUAGAAUUAAGGGCUUGUUAUUCAACA